rnacentral:rRNA from 1 species
UGGUCCUACGGGGGACAGCAGUAGGGAAUCUUCCACAAUGGGCGAAAGCCUGAUGGAGCAACGCCGCGUGGGUGAAGAAGGUCUUCGGAUCGUAAAACCCUGUUGUUAGAGAAGAAAGUGCGUGAGAGUAACUGUUCACAUUUCGACGGUAUCUAACCAGAAAGCCACGGCUAACUACGUGCCAGCAGCCGCGGUAAUACGUAGGUGGCAAGCGUUAUCCAGAUUUAUUGGGCGUAAAGGGAACGCAGGCGGUGUUUUAAGUAUGAUGUGAAAGCUUUCGGCUUAACCGGAGUAGUGGAUUGGAA